rnacentral:rRNA from 1 species
UUGUCCGCUUCCGCAUUUCCUCCCCACCACGCGAGCGCCGGCCCCUCCUAUAUCUAUCGCGCUGCCGCGCGCCCCCGCAGCCGCGUGUGGUGGUGGUGGCGGACUGGUGGUGGUGCUGUUUAGCUAGAGUCCCGGUAGGUGGGGAGGAGGGACGACUCGCGCGUGACCUGACCGGAUCAUGGCCGCCACGCUCCCGCGCGCGGUGGCGCCGCCGCCGGCGCUGCUCCCGCUCCCGCGCGCCGCGCCGCUGCUCCUCGCGGGCCGCGCCGCCGCCCGCAGGCUCCGGGCCAGAGGGGCCCGCGCGCCCGCGCUCGCGGCCACGCGGCGGAGCUGGGCCGUCUCCGCCCGCGCCGUGCUCGACCUGCCGCGCCGCCGGGCGCCUCAGAAGCCCGCGCAGGAGGCUGCGGAUUUGAACGAUAUCUUAGCAGAACGUGGAGCCUGUGGUGUUGGGUUUGUCGCAAACUUGAGUAAUGAGCCUUCGUUCAACGUUGUCCGUGAUGCUCUUACAGCUCUUGGGUGUAUGGAGCACCGUGGUGGCUGUGGAUCCGACAACGACUCUGGUGAUGGGGCAGGAUUGAUGAGCGGUAUACCAUGGGACUUGUUUGAUGACUGGGCCAGCAAGGAAGGGCUUGCUCCUUUUGAAAGAACACAUACAGGUGUAGGCAUGGUCUUCCUUCCACAAAACGAGAAUUCUAUGGCAGAAGCAAAAGCUGCUGUUGAGAAGGUUUUUACAGAUGAAGGCCUUGAGGUUCUUGGCUGGAGACCGGUUCCUUUCAAUCUAUCAGUGGUAGGCCGCAAUGCAAAAGAAACAAUGCCUAAUAUACUCCAGAUAUUUGUGAGAAUUGCGAAAGAAGAUGACGCUGAUGACAUAGAGAGAGAAUUAUACAUCUGCCGAAAGCUGAUAGAGAGGGCUACAAAAUCUGCUAGUUGGGCAGAUGAACUAUAUUUCUGCUCUUUGUCAAGUAGAACUAUCAUUUACAAGGGAAUGCUUCGAUCUGAGGUUCUUGGGCAGUUCUAUUUGGACCUUAAGAAUGAACUGUACAAAUCUCCUUUUGCCAUAUACCAUCGAAGAUUCAGUACCAACACAAGCCCUAGAUGGCCUCUUGCACAACCAAUGAGGUUGCUUGGACACAAUGGAGAGAUUAACACGAUACAGGGAAACUUGAACUGGAUGCGAUCAAGGGAAGCCACAAUACAGUCUCCUGUAUGGCGAGGCCGUGAGAAUGAACUACGCCCAUUUGGUGACCCUAAAGCAUCCGAUUCAGCAAACCUUGACAGUGCUGCUGAAUUACUGUUAAGAAGUGGUAGAAGUCCUGCUGAAGCUAUGAUGAUGCUCGUCCCCGAGGCAUACAAGAACCAUCCGACAUUAUCAGUAAAAUAUCCAGAGGUAAUUGACUUCUAUGAAUACUACAAAGGUCAAAUGGAGGCUUGGGAUGGGCCUGCUUUACUUUUGUUUAGUGACGGAAGGACGGUAGGGGCAUGCCUUGAUCGAAAUGGGCUGCGUCCAGCACGCUAUUGGAAAACAUCAGAUGGUUUUGUUUAUGUUGCAUCUGAGGUUGGUGUUAUACCGAUGGAUGAGUCGAAGGUAGUAAUGAAAGGAAGAUUGGGUCCUGGAAUGAUGAUAACAGUUGACCUAGAGACUGGUCAGGUCCUUGAAAACACAGAAGUGAAGAAGAAUGUGGCUUCAGCAAAACCCUAUGGAACUUGGUUGCAAGAAAGUACACGUUCAAUAAAGCCUGUCAACUUCCAAUCCUCUCCUGUCAUGGACAAUGAAACAAUUUUGAGACAUCAGCAGGCAUUUGGUUAUUCCAGUGAAGAUGUGCAAAUGGUAAUUGAAACAAUGGCUUCACAAGGGAAGGAGCCAACAUUUUGCAUGGGCGAUGACAUUCCAUUAGCCGUGUUGUCACAAAAGCCACACAUGCUCUUUGAUUAUUUCAAGCAGCGAUUUGCACAGGUUACAAAUCCUGCAAUUGAUCCACUCAGAGAAGGUUUAGUCAUGUCUCUUGAAGUUAACAUUGGUAAACGAGGCAACAUCUUGGAGGUUGGCCCUGAAAAUGCUGACCAGGUUACCCUAUCAAGUCCUGUGCUGAAUGAAGGUGAACUAGAAUCACUAUUGAAGGACCCAAAAUUAAAGCCCAAAGUACUCUCGACAUACUUCAAUAUCCGUAAAGGUCUAGAUGGUUCCCUUGAGAACGCAAUUAAGGCUCUUUGUGAAGAAGCUGAUGCUGCUGUGCGGAGUGGCUCUCAACUUCUUGUGCUUUCCGAUCGUUCUGAAGCGCUUGAACCAACACGGCCUGCCGUCCCAAUACUUUUAGCUGUUGGUGCCAUCCAUCAGCAUUUGAUUCAGAAUGGCCUCCGCAUGUCAGCUUCAAUUGUUGCUGACACUGCCCAGUGUUUCAGCACCCAUCAAUUUGCCUGUUUGAUAGGAUAUGGAGCCAGUGCUAUAUGCCCAUAUCUGGCAUUGGAAACAUGCCGGCAAUGGAGGCUGAGCAACAAAACUGUCAAUUUGAUGAGAAAUGGCAAGAUGCCCACAGUGACCAUCGAGCAGGCUCAAAGAAACUUUAUCAAGGCAGUAAAAUCUGGCCUGCUCAAGAUACUCUCAAAAAUGGGCAUAUCCUUGCUCUCAAGUUACUGUGGAGCUCAGAUCUUUGAAAUAUAUGGUCUUGGCCAAGAAGUUGUCGACCUUGCGUUCUGUGGGAGUGUAUCGAAAAUUGGAGGACUCACCCUUAAUGAGCUGGGCCGAGAAACACUAUCAUUCUGGGUGAGGGCUUUCUCAGAAGAUACCGCAAAGAGGCUGGAAAACUUCGGAUUCAUCCAAUCCAGACCUGGAGGUGAAUUUCAUGCAAAUAAUCCUGAGAUGUCAAAGCUGCUGCACAAAGCAAUUCGUGAAAAAAGUGAUAAUGCAUAUACCAUCUACCAACAACAUCUUGCAAGCCGUCCUGUCAAUGUUCUUCGAGAUCUUGUAGAACUAAAGAGUGAACGGACGCCUAUUCCUAUUGGCAAAGUUGAGCCUGCAACCUCUAUCGUUGAGCGUUUUUGCACAGGUGGAAUGUCCUUGGGCGCUAUUUCCAGAGAAACACACGAAGCUAUUGCAAUUGCAAUGAAUAGGAUAGGUGGGAAAUCUAAUUCAGGAGAAGGUGGUGAGGACCCAAUCCGCUGGAGUCCCCUUACAGAUGUUGUUGAUGGGUAUUCUUCGACACUUCCUCAUCUAAAAGGUCUUCAGAACGGGGACACCGCCACAAGUGCCAUUAAGCAGGUUGCAUCUGGACGUUUUGGUGUUACACCAACAUUUUUAGUUAAUGCCGAACAAAUUGAGAUAAAGAUUGCACAAGGGGCUAAGCCUGGUGAAGGGGGUCAACUUCCUGGCAAAAAAGUCAGCGCAUACAUAGCUCGGUUGAGAAACUCCAAACCUGGUGUUCCUCUGAUAUCCCCACCACCACACCAUGACAUCUAUUCUAUUGAGGAUCUGGCGCAGCUAAUUUUUGACCUACAUCAGAUCAAUCCUAAAGCGAAGGUGUCGGUAAAGCUUGUAGCUGAAGCAGGAAUUGGAACUGUAGCCUCUGGAGUAUCUAAGGCAAAUGCAGACGUAAUUCAGAUAUCAGGUCAUGAUGGUGGUACUGGAGCUAGCCCAAUUAGCUCAAUCAAGCAUGCUGGGGGUCCUUGGGAACUUGGUCUUACGGAAACACACCAGACACUCAUACAAAAUGGAUUGAGAGAGAGGGUGGUACUUAGGGUGGAUGGUGGAUUCAGGAGUGGCCUAGAUGUCCUUUUGGCUGCUGCCAUGGGUGCUGAUGAAUAUGGCUUUGGUUCUGUAGCUAUGAUAGCUACCGGAUGUGUCAUGGCACGCAUUUGCCACACAAACAAUUGCCCAGUUGGAGUUGCUAGUCAGAGAGAGGAGCUACGCGCUAGGUUCCCUGGUGUUCCUGGUGAUCUUGUGAACUACUUCCUCUUUGUUGCAGAGGAGGUACGAGCCACAUUAGCCCAGUUGGGUUAUGAGAAACUGGAUGACAUAAUUGGGCGGACAGAUUUACUUAAGCCAAAACAUAUCUCUUUGGUGAAAACGCAGCACAUUGAUCUUGCAUACCUAUUAAUGAAUGCUGGAUUACCCAAAUGGAGCAGCUCUCAGAUAAGGAGCCAGGACGUCCAUUCUAAUGGCCCUGUCCUUGAUGAGACAAUCCUUGCAGAUCCUGAGGUAUCCGAUGCAAUUGAGAAUGAGAAAGAGGUUUCAAAGACAUAUCCAAUUUAUAAUGUUGAUAGGGCUGUUUGCGGCCGUGUAGCGGGUGUCAUUGCUAAGAAGUACGGAGAUACAGGCUUUGCAGGCCAGCUGAACAUUACGUUCACCGGAAGUGCAGGACAGUCCUUUGGUUGUUUUCUGACACCUGGCAUGAAUGUUCGCCUAGUAGGAGAGGCCAACGAUUAUGUGGGGAAGGGUAUGGCGGGUGGAGAGCUGGUUGUAGUUCCUGUAGAUGAUACAGGAUUUGUUCCUGAGGAUGCUGCUAUAGUUGGGAACACUUGUCUGUAUGGAGCUACGGGUGGUCAAGUAUUUGUGAGAGGCAAGACAGGAGAAAGAUUUGCAGUUCGGAAUUCUCUUGGGCAAGCAGUGGUUGAGGGCACAGGAGAUCAUUGCUGCGAGUACAUGACCGGUGGAUGUGUAGUUGUACUCGGCAAAGUUGGAAGAAACGUUGCAGCCGGAAUGACCGGUGGCCUAGCCUACAUGUUAGAUGAAGAUGAUACACUAGUCCCGAAGGUUAACAAGGAGAUUGUCAAGAUGCAGAGAGUGAAUGCUCCAGCUGGGCAGAUGCAGCUCAAGGGUUUGAUUGAGGCCUAUGUUGAAAAAACGGGCAGCACGAAAGGCGCUAAAAUUCUGAGCGAAUGGGAGGCAUAUCUGCCACUGUUCUGGCAGUUGGUGCCACCCAGCGAAGAAGACUCACCAGAAGCUUGUGCUGAGUUUGAGAGAGUACUUGCCAGGCAAAAAACAGCAGUGCAAUCUGCCAAGUGAUACUAGCCAAAGCCCAAUCGCCAAAAUGACCAAAGCUAAAUGGAGGGAAAGCGUUCUUAUUGCGAUACUGGAAAGUGAUCUUCUCAGACCGCGGUCCUUCUGAAGCACUAACGUCACCAAAGGCUGCAAUUUUGUGGAAGCUCUGUCCAAGGCAUCUUCUGGAAACGAGCUUGCAGACUCCGUCGAGGAUUCUUCUGCACGCUCUUGCAGCCUAGGUAACCAACCACCCCUGUAAAUUGGUUCGCUGACGCUAGGCUGCAAGGCCCGGCCCCUGUUGAACUGCCGCUUUCUUGUACAGGAUUCCUGGCUUCGCUGUGUAAUUAUAUUUUUUGUUCUGGACACAUUAGUUCUUAUAUUUAUACCCGUCCUGUGGUAGGCAUGCGAGUUGCAUGUGCUUUAGUUCAGUAUACAGAAUAAAUAAAGUGUAUGAUGAAGUAGGACUUCUCAGGUGUCGAUAAUCGGUGGAACUUGUUUUUCUUUUUUCAAGUUCUACGGGGCGUCGGCCAACUUAAACGAUUUCCAUUAUUAACUCGAUGGCGCCAGCGUCACCGAGGUUUGAGGUUUGACAACGUGUGAGAAGAGAGCCGGAAAGCUCGCGGCUAGGUUUCACCCGACAGCGCGGCGCCCAGCUCGAGGACUAGCCAUACAACGAGGUGGUUUGUUAUCUACGAUCGGACGUCCUAUAUCCACACCAAAUCGUCUGGGUGGCCUGUCCGAUUCGUGUGGGUGGCCUGUACGAUCAGAAAAACGCCACCUAAUCGGAUCAGCCAAACUCCGCCUAGACGCCUUUGCUGACCGGUACUAUCC